AUGAAAAUACACCAAUCUGUGAAACCACUUUUUAAACUUAGUGAAGAUGAUGGGGUCAAGGGUCAUACUCCAAAGAGGUAUAUGAGAGAAGUUUCACAUGAGGUGUUACAGAAGGUACAACAACUAGAAAGAAGAUUCAAAGCUAUUGAAGGAGAAUUGAAGAAACAGAAAAAAGUAAAUAAAGACUUACUGAAUGAGAAAAUG
rnacentral:lncRNA from 1 species